UUAUGAAAAUCCUGACCGUUCUAGUCCACCAAUAGGAAUGUAGCGCGAGCCGGAUACGCGAUACGAUGCGUCUCGCUAACGUCACAGAUGUGGGAUCGUCUGCUAGUGUUAUGCGAUCGCCAAAAUGGUUCGUAUCAUUAGUCUCAUGACUUUGAUAAUCUCUGGACUAGCCAGAGAAACAUUGGCGAUUUCUGUCGAUGACAUGCUGGCGAUGUUUGGACACAACGAUGACUCAGCGAUUAUGUCUACACCCAGCUCGAAUCUUUCCCAGACACAUUUUAAUUUCAACAAUGACGGCAACUCUCAAGACAGCGCGAGUGUGCCGACUAUGGAGACACAUUUUAAUUUCAACAAUAACGGCAACUCUCAAGACGGCGCGAAUGUGCCCACUAUGGAGAUUCCAUUUGGAGAAAUUGUCAACGAAUUUCUAUCGACCGUAGCUGUCCGAAACUGUCAUCCUAAUUAUUGCGAGGUUUCGAACCCGUGUCCCGAUGUCACGAAAUGUUUAUCGUAUGGAUGUAAUAUGACACGGUGUGAUGAGCCGACACUAGAAGAAGCUACCAAGCCACCAAACCAUUGUAUGGACGACAACAUCACGUAAGUGUUAGACCACUGAGAAAAUGUGAUCCACCAAAAUGUC